rnacentral:lncRNA from 1 species
CCCCGCACCACGCGCAGCCCUCCAGGCCCCCGGGGCGCGCCGAGGCGCUUCCUUACCUUGCUUCAGGGAUGUUUCCCGGACCGAGUGUGGCUUCAGAGUCAGAGAGAUGUGAGUUCAAGACCACUUGCUUAGGUAAGUCACACUGCUCCAAGUUUCAGUUUCUUCAUCUGUGAAAUGGGAGCAAUAACCACCUCUUUUUCAGGAUUGCCAUUGAGAUCAUUCGUGGAAUCCAUAAAGUGCCCAGCCCACAGGUUAUUUAUUCUGUCCAGCUUUUAUUCAAGCUUUUUGCUUAGCACUGAGGAAACAGCAAUUCACGAGGCAGGCAUGGUCUCUGCCUUCAUGCAACUUGCAUUCUAGGAGGCAGACAGACUGUGGACAGCAAUUACAGAAUUUCAUGACAGUUAUACAAGUGCCAUGGAACAUAUAGAGUACGAUAAGACCAGAUAUCCAGGGAAACUGACCUGGUCUGGGGCUCAGGAAGGCCUUUCCCAAAGUGUGAUGACAUCGAAGCUGAGACCUGAAGUCAAUUGGGGCACCAGGAUUGCAGUUGGUAGGAAGUGGGCAGGGGGUGCUAAAAGAGGUGGUGGAGGGAGAGCGUUCCUGGCACGAGGGAGCAAGGCCAGCGCGAAAGCCGGAGUGGCCGGUGUGGGGUGGGGAGCGGGAUGAGGCUGCAGAGGUGGGCGGGGCCAGGCGUGGGCAGGCAGUGUCUUGUAGGCUGUGCUGGGAAGUCCCGGCCUCAGCGCACAGAAACUGCUCUCAUGAACCCUCAACCACAUGAGUCCCGAUUUCCCCUUUUCUGAGCUGGAAGGAAGAAGCCAGGCCAGCAUGCAGACUCAUUCUUUGCCUUUGGUUAUUCCUGGGGGCUGCCAUCUCUUGUCCUCUCCUUUGCUAUGUCCCAGCACUGUGCACCCAAAGAUGUCAUUGCCUACUAUGACAGCCAUGCCCCCACCCGAGGGCCUCCCUGGCAGCACACACUCAGGCUUGGUUUCUGUUUGUGCCCUUAAAGUCAGGCCCACAGGAGGCAUCGUCCUUGGCCACUGAUCCCCUGUUGUGUGCCAGGCCCUGUGCUGGGCAUGGCCCCUGUCCUCACAAAGCACUCCUUUUUCUGGGAAGACACUUUUGAGCACACAGGGAUGCAAUGACCAUGAUGAAGGAGUCUCAUGGGGGACCUGAGGCAUGGGGCUGGAAGCUCUUUGAGGGCAGGUCCAUCGUGUGUUUUCUCACCUCGCAUCAUCAUCAGGGUGUGGCACUGUGCCUGGCACCAAGGCAGACACUCAGAAACACGUAUUUGGAGGAUGAAAAAGAAAAGUGGAGUUUAAACAUAGAAGGAUGAAGGCUCAGUAGGAGCUCAGAGAGCCACAAGAAAGGGGGAGGAGACCUGCCUCUGAAGCUCUGUAAGGAGGAGGCAAAGGGCUCUGUAGUGGGAGGGAGCUGAUGCUUCUGGGGCUCCUCCUCCUGGGGCCAGGCAGGUGCUGGGCACUUUUGUGCAGUUCCCUGGGCCAACCUCCACAGCGCCCCGCCUCGAGGGCACCAUUGGCCCCACUUUUCUGUUAAAGCGCUAGGGUCCAGAGGGGUUGCGUCACAGGCUUGAGGUCACACAGCCAGUAAGAGCCUGCGCCCGGAUUUGAACCCUGGUCCGCCUGCUCCUCUUUACUAAAAGGAGGAAGCAAAAGAGGAGGAGAAGGCAGAGGAAGGCGACGACUGAGAACAAAAGAAGAGCAGUGGCAAAGGAGUGAGCUCCAUGAGUGGCUUUUGUGGACAAGAUGCGACCACCUCAUGAGGAUCAAGAUGUACUCCUUGCUCUUCUCUGCACAGCAGUCUCAAAACUAGGCUACACCGUCUGUCUCCUCUGGUCACCAUUUUGAGAGGCAGCAAGGGUCUUCCUAACCCUCAGCUCCCUCUGAUUUUUGGAAUUCAGAUUUGGAUUUUGGAUGUACAUCAAGAGGCUGGCUCCACGCAUUUUAAUUAAGUUGUCUUUUUUCAUUUAUUACUAAUACACUCCUCUUAACUAUGAUUUAUUGGUUAAACAAAGCACCAUAAGCCGUCACUUAUUCAUCUUAAUUUCAACAAAAUUAAAGUAGUCGCUGUUAGAUUGCACCUAAUUGCACUUGCAAUGAAAAGAACGGAGAUGUUAAUCAAAAUAAAUUGAAGAUAAACAAUAAAAUCAUUACAUCUUUGCGGU